CCCGCCCGCCGCUGCGUCCCCACUAUGGCGGCGCCCAUGCAGCCCACCGCGUCGUGGGCGCCCGCCGGGGUACCCCGCGGCUGCCGCCGCAGCCUGCGCCGCCGCCUGCGCCUUCCUGCCUCGCGUGGGGCCGGGCACCGCCUCCCCCCUGCUUCUCUCUCCGCUGCGGUCAUGUAGGAAAUCGUAAAUCAUGUGAAGAUGGGACUCUUGGUGUUUGUGCGCAAUCUGCUGCUAGCCCUCUGCCUCUUCCUUGUGCUGGGAUUUUUGUAUUACUCUGCAUGGAAGCUGCACUUGUUCCAGUGGGAGGACUCGAAUUCAGUGGUUCUUUCCUUUGACUCCGCUGGACAGACGCUAGGCUCAGAGUAUGAUCGGCUGGGCUUCCUCCUGAAGCUGGACUCGAAACUGCCUGCUGAGUUAGCCACCAAGUACGCAAACUUCUCCGAGGGAGCGUGCAAGCCUGGCUAUGCUUCUGCCCUGAUGACCGCCAUCUUCCCCCGGUUCUCCAAGCCAGCACCCAUGUUCCUGGAUGACUCCUUCCGCAAGUGGGCUAGGAUCCGGGAGUUUGUGCCGCCUUUUGGGAUCAAAGGUCAAGACAAUCUGAUCAAAGCCAUCUUGUCAGUCACCAAAGAGUAUCGCCUGACCCCUGCCCUAGACAGCCUCCGCUGCCGCCGCUGCAUCAUCGUGGGCAAUGGAGGGGUCCUUGCCAACAAGUCCCUGGGGUCACGGAUUGAUGACUACGACAUUGUGGUCAGACUGAACUCAGCUCCAGUGAAGGGCUUUGAGAGGGACGUGGGCAGCAAGACCACUCUGCGCAUCACCUACCCCGAGGGCGCCAUGCAGCGGCCAGAGCAGUAUGAGCGCGACUCUCUCUUCGUCCUGGCUGGCUUCAAGUGGCAGGACUUCAAGUGGCUGAAGUACAUCGUCUACAAGGAGAGAGUGAGUGCAUCGGACGGCUUCUGGAAGUCUGUGGCCACCCGGGUGCCCAAGGAGCCCCCCGAGAUUCGCAUCCUCAACCCGUAUUUCAUCCAGGAGGCCGCCUUCACCCUCAUCGGGCUGCCCUUCAACAACGGCCUCAUGGGCCGGGGGAACAUCCCGACCCUUGGCAGCGUGGCAGUGACCAUGGCGCUACACGGCUGUGAUGAGGUGGCUGUCGCUGGCUUUGGCUAUGACAUGAGCAACCCCAACGCACCCCUGCACUACUACGAGACCGUGCGCAUGGCCGCCAUCAAAGAGAUACUUCCUGAGCACCUACUCUGUGCCCAACAAUCCCUGCCCUCAAAGAAAGAUGAUGAGCCAGAGGCCUGAGUCGUCACAAACCAGGGGUGAAUCACCCCGGGUCUGCACCAGACAGAAGGCAGAGCCGCAGUCCUGGACGCACAAUAUCCAGCGAGAAAAGGAGUUCCUACGGAAGCUGGUGAGAGCGCAUGUCAUCACGGACCUUAGCAGCGGCAUCUGAUGUGGCCACCGAGGCCAGACCCUACCAGGAACAAGCAGCAGCGGCCGCCGCCAGCACAGGAGACUUCAGACCCAGCAACGGACAGUGCCAAGAGCCCCGGGGUGCAGAGGCCUUGGCGGGGCAGCCUCUGAGGCCAGCACUCAGCCUCCCUGCCAGCCUGGGUCCUUGAAGCCAGAGGCCAGGAGGCCACUGGCUGUGCCCAGCAGGCCCAGCAUGCAGGAGGUGGGACAUUGGGCAGCAGGGCUGCUGCCAGAAUCGUUUCUCCAAUCAGUGUUUGGUGUAUUAUCAUUUUUGUGAAUUUGGGUGGGGGGAGGGGAGGGAUAAUUUAUUUUUAAAUAAGGUUGGAGAUGUCAAAUACAGUCCACUCUCUGUGCAAAAAGAGGCCCCUCCCCCAAGAGGGCCCCUCAGGCAGUGGUACCAGUAAGCCCCCUCCUGUAAGGGAGGAGUGCCAUGACCGGCCUGUACCCUGCGGCAGGCCACGGGGCGGUGGGCAGGAUCUCAUGCCAGGGCCCUCCAGCUCAUGGCACUCUGGCCUUUAUUGGCCAGUGGGAGGGGAAACGCUAGAGCCAUCCCUUGGGAGCCACCAGGGCAGCCCCCGGGCUGGAGCAAAGAAUCUUGAAGUGCAGUAGGCGAGGCCCCUCCCAGCCUUUGGGGGAUGGCUGCCCACCCCCAGCUGCGCUGAUCCACAGGACGGGGCCCUGGGCCCGGGCUGACCGGCUUGUGAAACGUCUGGGUUCAGCAAUGAGACAGCCACGUUGUCCAGUUCUGCCUUAGCCCGGACCAGAGGGAAGCGAGGCACAAGGCUCUUCCCAGGCUGUGGCAGCCCAGGCAGCCCUCGUGGAAGCAAUAAAGCUCUUCCCUGA